AAACAUUGUUCCUGGGUGUGUCUGGGAGGGAGUUUCUGAAAGAGAUCAGCAUUUGAAUCAGUGGACUGAGUAAAGAAGAUCCGUCGUCACCAAUGUGGGAGGGAAAAGAAAAUGCAGGCAGGUGGCACAUUAGUGACCACCCUCCAGAGCCCAGUGUCUAUGAAUACUCAGCAGCUCCAAGGCUGAGACCCUAACCAACUGUGAAGAGGGAUCUGGCAUCCCAAGGCUCACCUGACAGGGAGAGGCAGGCGCUCAUGAGAUCUGCUUGUUGGAAAGUGUGUAGCACCUCCUCCUUCGCUCUCUUCCUCCUACUCUGCCAUGGUAAGACAUGCUUGCUUGCCCUUCACCUUCUGCUGUGAUUAUAAGUUUCCUGAGG
rnacentral:lncRNA from 1 species